UCCAACCUGAGCAAUUCUAUGAUCCUAUGAUUCUGUGUCAGAAAAUGAAGCUGUAUGAAGAACAUGUUCUUCACUAAAUCCUAAAGAACACAGUGUGCAAAAUGGGAAAGGAUCUUGACAGAAUUUGUAGUUUUGUAAGUGUAUUGUUGUGCUGGGCAGGCUGAUCAUAAAUGAGCAGAAGGAGAUUCUCAAAGCUUAUGACAAAUGAAUCUACCAAACAAGCCCAGCUCCCUCAGCCUGUCUUCAUAGCAGAGAUGCUCUAGCCCACCGAGCAUCCUCAUGGCACUCCUCUGGACCCUCCCCAAAAGCUCCACAUCUAUCCUCAGCGGGGGGCCCCAGACCUGGAUGCAGAACUCCAGAUGGGGCCUGAAGAGGACAGAGUAGUGAGGGACAAACCCCGCCCUCUCCCUGCUGUCCUCUUGCCUCUCAUCACCACAUGUUUAGCCUAACGUGGACAUCUAAGAAAGCAGAGAGGUUGAGAAGUUCAAGAUGAGAUGGCCUAACUGCCAUAAGACAAAAUAGGUAAAGAACUGAUUUCACUGUUUUUUCACUAGUCAGUUGUUCUCACUUCGAUGGUGAAAGGCAGUAACCCUAUACAAGGCAGUCAAGAGAUUUAGGAACCAUGCAGGAGAUGGCAGAAGGGAAAGAACAUGCAUAGUGGCCACAUAACAAGAGUAAGCAGUUACACGGCAACGCGGAAUGUUUAAGGGAAGGGCAGUAACGCCCAGAGAUGGCUGGUUGAAGAGCAGCCAGUAAGCAAGCACAGGUUGGGGAAGGCAGGGGAAAGCAGCAGGGAAUGAAGCUGCUUCGCUGUUCCUUUUCCUCUACCUUGCAGGUGGCCAUUCAGACACAGACAAAAGCAGAUAAGGAAAGAUGACAGUUCUCAACACUGAAAAGUGCUGACCACACUCUGAAAGACAGCAGGAGCUGGUACAAGACCUAACAACUACAACAGCCAUGUCAGCUGGGGACAGUGAGACAAGCAGCCUCAGACAGCGACAAAACUGGCUGGCUGAUGAGCAACCCAGUGAGCAGGGUCAUACUGGGGGUACACAAGAGGGUAACAGGCUGUGUGGCUGCUUCUUUGUUCCUUCCCCUCUGCCUUGCAGAUGGGAACAUAGAAACAGGCCGAAGCAGAGCAGGGAAGACGACUCUUCUCAGCCCUGCAAAAAUGGAGCCCACACUCUUCAAAAAAGAUAAGUCAGCACUAUACGACGUCUCAUCUGGGUCCUACACGACUCUGGAAUCUUCCCGUCUUGCCCCUGCCCAUACCCAACACUGAUGCCAGGUUUAAUGAAUCUUGGAUCCACAGCAGGCGCUGGCAGCAGUCCACCCAACUACAGUGGCCACGUCAGCUGGGGAUGGUGACACGGGCAGCCCCAGAUAGCGACAAAACUGGCUGGCUGACGAGCAACCCAGUGAGCAGUGCCGUGCUGGGGGGACACGGGAGGGCAACAGGCCAUGCGGCUGCUUCUUUGUUCCUUCCCCUCUGCCUUGCAGGUGGGCACGCAGACACAGGCCGAAGCAGAGCAGGGAAGACGACUCUUCUCAGCCCUGCAAAAUGGAGCCCACACUCUUCAAAAAAGAUGAGUCAGCCCCAAAUUACAUAUCAUCCAAGUCCUACAGGACUCAGGAAUCUUCCCACCUUGCCCCUGCUUGUACCCAACAUCUAUGGUUGCUUUAAUGUGUGCAGGACCCACAGCAGGUGCUGGUACAAGACCUGACAACUGCAGCAGCCACGUCAGCAGGGGACAGUGAGACGCGCCGUCCCAGACGACGACAAAACUGGCUGGCUGAAGAGCAACCCAGUGAGUAGGCCCAUGCUGGGGAGGACAGGGGAGGGUAACAGGGCAUGCAGCUGUUUCACUCUUGCUUCCCGUCUGCCUUGCAGGUGGGCAUUCAGGCACAGACGGAACCAGAGAAGGAAAGAUGACCGUUCUCAGAACUGGAAAAUGGUGACCAUACUCUCAAAGAAAGAAACCUGGAGCAACAGCAGGUGCUGGCAGCAGUCCACCAACUGCAGUGGCCACGUCAGCAGGGGACGGUGAGACGGGCAGCCCCAGACAGCGACAAAACUGGCUGGCAGAAGAGCAACCCAGUGAGCAGAGCCAUGCUGGGGAGGGCAGGGGAAAGCAGCAAGGCCAGCGGCUGCUCCUUUCUUGCUUCCCCUCUGCCUUGCAGGUGAACCUGUAGAUAAAGACGGAAGCAGAGCACGAAAGACUACUCUUCUCAGCCCUGCGCAAAGGAGGACCACACUCUUCAAAAAAGAUAAGUCAGCCCUAUACGACUUCUCAUCUGGGUCCUACAGGACUCAGGAAACUUCCCGCCUUCCCCCGGCCCAUACCCAACAUUGAUGCCAGUUUUAUUGCAUCCUGGAUCCACAGCAAGCGCUGACAGCAGUCCACCAACUGCAGUGGUCAAGUCAGCUGGGGAUGGUGACACGGGCAGCCCCCGACAGCGACAAAACUGGCUGGCUGACGAGCAAUCCAGUGAGCAGUGCUAUGUUUGAGGAACAUGGGAGGGCAACAGGCCAUGCGGCUGCUUCUUCGUUCCUUCCCCUCUGCCUUGCAGGUGGGCACGUAGACACAGGCGGAAGCAGAGCAGGGAAGACGACUCUUCUCAGCCCUGCAAAAUGAGGCCCACACUCUUCAAAAAAGAUAAGUCAGCCCUAUAGGACUUCUCAUCUGGGUCCUACAGGACUCUGGAAUCUUCCCGCUAACCCCUGCCCAUACCCAACACUAAUGCCAGGUUUAAUGAAUCCUGGAUCCACAGCAGGUGCUGGUAGAAGACCAAACAACUACAGCAGCCACGUCAGCAGGGGACAGUGAGACGGGCAGCCCCAGACAGCGACAAAACUGGCUGGCUGACGAGCAACCCAGUGAGCAGGGCCAUGCUGGGGAGGGCAGGGGAAAGCAGCAAGGCCAGCGGCUGCUCCUUUCUUGCUUCCCCUCUGCCUUGCAGGAGAACGCGUACAUAAAGACGGAAGCAGAGCACGAAAG